CCUACGGGUGGCAGCAGUGAGGAAUAUUGGUCAAUGGCCGGGAGACUGAACCAGCCAAGCCGCGUGAGGGAUGAAGGUGCAGAGUAUCGUAAACCUCUUUUGUCAGGGAACAAAGGCGGGCACGCGUCCCCGGCCGAGGGUACCUGAAGAAAAAGCAUCGGCUAACUCCGUGCCAGCAGCCGCGGUAAUACGGAGGAUGCGAGCGUUAUCCGGAUUUAUUGGGUUUAAAGGGUGCGCAGGCGGUCUGUUAAGUCAGCGGUAAAAGCCCGGGGCUCAACCCCGGCCCGCCGUUGAAACUGGCAGUCUCGAGUUGGCGAGAAGUAUGCGGAAUGCGCGGUGUAGCGGUGAAAUGCAUAGAUAUCGCGCAGAACUCCGAUUGCGAAGGCAGCAUGCCGGCUCCACACUGACGCUGAGGCACGAAAGCGUGGGUAUCGAACAGGAUUAGAUACCCCAGUAGUC
rnacentral:rRNA from 1 species